rnacentral:rRNA from 1 species
GACGAACGCUGGCGGCGUGCUUAACACAUGCAAGUCGUACGGUAAGGCCCUUUCGGGGGUACACGAGUGGCGAACGGGUGAGUAACACGUGAGUAACCUGCCCACAACUUUGGGAUAACGCUAGGAAACUGGUGCUAAUACUGGAUAUGUGCUCCUUCUGCAUGGUGGGGGUUGGAAAGCUCCGGCGGUUGUGGAUGGACUCGCGGCCUAUCAGCUUGUUGGUGGGGUAGUGGCCUACCAAGGCGGCGACGGGUAGCCGGCCUGAGAGGGUGACCGGCCACAUUGGGACUGAGAUACGGCCCAGACUCCUACGGGAGGCAGCAGUGGGGAAUAUUGCACAAUGGGCGCAAGCCUGAUGCAGCAACGCCGCGUGCGGGAUAACGGCCUUCGGGUUGUAAACCGCUUUCAGCAGGGACGAAGCUUUUUGUGACGGUACCUGCAGAAGAAGCACCGGCUAACUACGUG